CCCUUAGAUGUUCUGGGCCGCACGCGCGCUACACUGACAGAGCCAGCGAGUUUUUUUCCUUGGCCGGAAGGUCUGGGUAAUCUUGUGAAACUCUGUCGUGCUGGGGAUAGAGCAUUGCAAUUAUUGCUCUUCAACGAGGAAUACCUAGUAAGCGUGAGUCAUCAGCUCGCGUUGAUUACGUCCCUGCCAUUUGUACACACCGCCCGUCGCUACUACCGAUUGAAUGGCUUAGUGAGGUCUCCGAAUUGGCUUUGGGGAGCCGGCGACGGCACCCUAUUGCUGAGAAGCUGAUCAAACUUGGUCAUUUAGAGGAAGUAAAAGUCGUAACA
rnacentral:rRNA from 1 species